rnacentral:tRNA from 1 species
GGUUCCAUGGUGUAAUAAUUAGCACUCCAGACUCUGAAUCUGGCGAUCCGAGUUCAAAUCUCGGUGGAACCU